rnacentral:rRNA from 1 species
GUGAAAUACAAAUCGGACUAGGAUAUAGCUGGUUUUCUGCGAAAAUUGUUUUGGCAAAUUGUUUAUUCCUCUAAAAAAUAGUAGGUAUAGCACUGAAUAUCUCGAGGGAGUAUGAAAAUAUUUAUCUCAGAUAUUUAAUCUCAAAAUAACUAUUUCUUAAAAUAAAUAAUCAGACUAUGUGCGAUAAGGUAGAUAGUCGAAAGGGAAACAGCCCAGAACAGUAAUUAAAGCUCCCCAAUUAAUAUUAAGUGA